CACGUAGUUAGCCGGCGCUUAUUCUUCAGGUACCGUCAUUAGCAAGAGAUAUUAGCUCUCACCGUUUCUUCCCUGACAAAAGAGCUUUACAACCCGAAGGCCUUCUUCACUCACGCGGCAUUGCUGGAUCAGGCUUUCGCCCAUUGUCCAAAAUUCCCCA
rnacentral:rRNA from 1 species